CCAAUAGCGUAUAUUAAAGUUGUUGCAGUUAAAAAGCUCGUAGUUGAAUUUCGGGGUCAGUAGGUUGGUCAUGCCACUGGUAUGUACUGGUCUCACUGAUUCCUCCUUCCUGAUGAGCCGUAAUGCCAUUAAUUUGGUGUUGCGAGGAAUCUGGACUGUUACUUUGAAAAAAUUAGAGUGUUUAAAGCAGGCUAACGCUUGAAUACAUUAGCAUGGAAUAAUGAAAUAGGACGUUCGAUCUUAUUUUGUUGGUUUCUAGGAUAGACGUAAUGAUUAAUAGGGAUAGUUGGGGGCAUUAGUAUUCAAUUGUCAGAGGUGAAAUUCUUGGAUUUAUUGAAGACUAACUACUGCGAAAGCAUUUGCCAAGGAUGUUUUCAUUAAUCAAGAACGAAAGUUAGGGGAUCGAAGACGAUCAGAUACCGUCGUAGUCUUAACCAUAAACUAUGCCGACUAGGGAUCGGAUGAUGUUAAUUUUUUAAUGACUCAUUCGGCGCCUUACG
rnacentral:rRNA from 1 species